AUAUUGAUGUAAACUGUUAUGCUGAUAAAGAAUGUCUAAGUACAAUGACAUGUAUAGGUGGGACCUGUCAAUGUGCAAAGAAUCAGUAUUGGACAGGUUAUACUUGUUCUGCAGAAAAAAGUGUGAAUGAAACAUGUACUGCUAAUAACGAAUGUGCCACUACACUGAAUUGUUCAAGUGGGCGUUGUCAAUGUUCUACAAAUCAGUAUUGGACAGGAUCAGAUUGUUCGGAAC